GACUCGAGAUAUGCAUGUGGCGGCACCGAGCAUGAGGCAACAACUGCAUUACUUGCGGGGAAGGCGCAAGUAGGACACCUGCAUUACUUGCAAACAAGGCGCAAAAUUAAUAGAAGAUCACCAUACUUGUGGCUUUCUUGCAAGUCAUGCAGUUGCUGCCUCAAGCUUGCUGCCUCCCUUUGCCAAAGCUAUCAGAAAAAACAUAAAGUUCUGUUAGUUUCCCUAAACUUUAAAAACAUAAAGUUCUGUUAGUUUCCCUAAACUUUAAAACAUGUUCUACAAAAUUGAUCUAGAAAUGAUUGGCUUACUGUGCUAAUUUAAAGCAAUAUAAUUACUCGACAACUGCAUAUGCACAUGUUAGAAGCAAGGCAGUAGAAUACUUAUGUUUUCAUCUACUGGCAGGUAGCAACAUGUAUAGAUAUAUCA
rnacentral:pre_miRNA from 1 species